AAAAAGCUGUGUAGGAGAUUAAAUGUGGGUGAGGAACAGACAAACUCUUCUACUAAGGUAAGGCUGUGGGAGACCGUUUCAUGUCACAUAUCAUACAGUAACAAGACUCAAGGUAGUUCUACAGCAUCAGCAUGUUCUCUCCCAGACAAAUAGUCCAAAGCAGACUGGGGUUUCAAGAUGUAAUCACGAUAUUUUGAUGAAGCACUAACAGCCUAUGUUGAGAACCGUAGAUGCAGUGGUUGGCCACGGAAAAUUAAUGCAGCAGAUGAAAUACUACAAGACAUCCGUUUGACAUCAGAAGAUGUCCAGCAGUGCCAGCAGCAAAAGACAUUUUUGCAAAUGGAGAUUUGGUCAGGAUUAAUGGUGUCCUCAAUGCUGAGAAAUACAGGCAGAUACUUAUCCAUCAUGCAAUACCAUCAUGACCAAAUGCAUUCUGCAGCAGGACAACCCCACACACAUACAGCCAAUGUCAUUAACUAUCUUCCAAAUUGAGAAGAACAAGGAGUCCUGGAAGUGAUGUUUUUGGUCUCCAGGGAGCUCUGAUCGAGUCUGUCAGGGAUUACAUGAAAAAGCAGAAGGAUUUGAGGCAGCCAACAUGCACAGAAGAUCUGUUUUUAGUUCUCCAAUUUGUUUGGAACAACCUACCUGCUGAGUUCCUUCAAAAACUGUAGUCACACCAAGUAUUGACUUGAUUUGGAUUUCUCUCCUGUGUAUUUACUUUGAAUUUUGUUAAUUGAUAAAAAUAAACAAUUAACAGUUUUAUUUUUGAAAGCAUUUUCCCCACACCUGCCUAAAAUGUUUGCACAGUACUGUAUUUCAUUAAUAUGAGACACAUGAAACAAAGUGGCUGUGGUGUAAAGUCUGACAAACGUACCACUCUACUUUUGCAGAGGAAAUGGGGUUAAACAGUGAUGAAAUAAUGAGUGAGAAAGGUGAGAAAUGCGAAGAACAUGAAGACACUCAAGCAGAUGUGAGGGUGCCGCCAGUGGACACUGAAAUCGUGCGCACAAUUCUCUUCAAAGGUCUUCUAAAGGUAAAACUUCUACUCUGAAAAAGAGGAAGGCUUGGGAAGUAAAUGAGGUCACCGCAGUGGAGAGACAUAUGAAGACUUUCAUCAUGUCAUGCCGUGUCCCAGGGAAGUUGGCCUGUCAAAACUGCAUUACAGCUGAGCCUUUAGCUGUUAAAGAUAGAGAUUGGCAAAGUGUCAAAUUCUAUGUCUACAAUCGCAUUGUAGCUUAUAAGAGAGAUCUAAACAAGAAUGAUUAGAUAAGACUGAUAAUGGCACUUUGGUACUUUAUGUAGUGUCUUGUACCAGUCAUUUUAGAUUUCAUGUCCCAGGCACCCUAAAUUUCAACAUCUACUCUUCAAUUAACCGAUGAGCAGCCCAGUUUUACACCCACACCUGG